AAAAAAUGAAAAACCCAUUAAACCAAAACAAAGCAAAAAGCCAUACCUGAAACAGAAAAAUCUCUGCUUCUUAUCUCCUGCUCUCCACCACCUCUUUAUCCUUCCUGAUGGCAUUGGAGGCUUCUGUGUGCCAUAUAUUAUAUCCCCUUCUCAGAUCAGCUUGACUGGCAACUGUCCAUUGCAACGAGUCAUUGGUCUGGUUCAAGUCCUCUGGUUAUUGGUACAUCAUCCUCACUGGAUCUUGACCUGAGCUCUUUUGGAGUAUCCUGUGUCUUGGAGAUCUUGUGGGUAUUCUUCUGCUGGACCAAUCCCUUCGGUGCUCCAGCAGGAUCUAGAUAUUAGGGUGGGUCAACCCAGGCCUGGGUGUUAGCCAGUUAGGUCAGAUCAAGCUACUGGGACCACCCACCUCAUUUGCAGUGGUGGAAUCAGCUCCCUUACUUGCAUGCCAGCAGGGUAGGUUCAUUCUCUCCUGUGGUGAAGGGUGGGGGCCCUCUCUGCUGAGUGCAGGGGCCAACUCUCUUGCCAUAAUGGACAGCAAGAGGUAAGGCCAGGUUUCUCAGGGUAGUGAAGGGCAGGACUGGCUCAAUACAGCCCAUUGAUUUCAUCUAGAAUGAUUCCUAAGGCCUCCUGAGGUGACACGGGACACAGACAUCAAAACAGACCCCAGUUACUUCUGGACCAUGGACACAUACAUGUAAACAUGUCAGAUUAUGAAAUCUGCUUAGAUGGCUUUUUGCCAUUACCACCUGCAAUGAGAACAUAGUCUCUACUUUUUAGGAUAUCUGUUAAUAAAAUUCUGAAUAUGACUGUAACUUGCAAAAUAAAACCAAUUUAAAAAGGAAAUACAAAGCUGAUUCCUCCUAGUCCACAUAGACUCUUACAGGGCUCUUUGACACGCAUGAAAUAAAAAACAGAUGAAGAAAUGAGUAUGUUCUACAUGUACACUAAACUCUUAUGUAAGUACAAUCUCUCUUUGUGAGUUUCUUUUCAAAGUGUCUCAAGGAUAAGGAUAACUCUCCAAGAUAACCAAAACACUGAUGAAUACACUGAUGUUUCAGCAAGUGCUUAAUUAAUUGGAAUAAUCAUAAAGAUGAAGAGAAAAAUAUCCUACUGACCCCAAGCCUUUGGAUCCCUGUAUACAGACUGCAUGUUCUAACUUUUGAUAUCACCACAAACAUUUCAUGCAGGAAAACAAAGUAGAAAUGAAGAGGUAGAGCCCAGAAGUGGCAUAUGUCUGUCAUCCCAGCACUUUGGAGGUGGGUGGAAGCAACAGAACCAGAAAUUGAAGGCCAUUCCACAUAGUGUGUUUGAGGCCAGCUUGAGCUACACAGGACCUUGUUUCCAAAAACACACAAAAAAAGUCAUCUUUAUGAGCAUGACACAUUCAGUGACUGAGGAGACAAGGGUGUUGGAUCCCCUGAAACUGGAGUUGCAGGCAGUGGACCACCAUCUGGGUACUAGGAACCAAAACCAGGUUCUCAACAUCUCUGAAGCUCCCACUAAUGUAUUUUCAAUGGCAGAAGAAAUCUCCCUGAGCCCUUUCCCUACAGAGUCAGCAGAGGAGGAGAAACUAACUGCAAGCCUCAGGCUUUCUGGCACAGCUACACCAACACUCAGGCCAGUAAGGAGAAACUGGAUGUGUCCUGCAUAAAACACGGUGUAAUCUCCGGCUCAUUUGUGGUCCUAUUCCUGGAAAUCCCUACUACAGAGUUUGACAUUAAAGAGACAAAAAUAAGGAUAGCCACAAACCAACUGCACUUGCCUUGCCAACCAACAAGAUAACACAAGCAACAGCACAAUGAGGCUGAGUAAGAGUUAAAGCUAAAGGAAGUCAUCAGCAUCUCCCAGGGCCUUCCUUCCUGUGCUACCUGGAUGGCAAGAUACUGACAACCUAAAGCUUCACCACUGUCCAGUGAGGAUACUCGAUCCAUUUGCAGAUGGUGCCCAAGGAUCAUCAGCUUCUCAACGGACAGCAAAUUACUGAACUGAUCUGUUCCAUAUGACCACCAGCUGUGAGGUGCCUGCAGCAGUUCUCCCCUGCCAGCCUGGCUGCUCUGUGUCCUUUCCUCCCCGUGGAUGCACUGUGGAGCUCCCAUCUUUGAUGCUGCCUGAUAGACCAAAUGUGCCAUGGUCCCAACAAUGAUGACAUCUCCAGCUAGGGCAGCAGUUCUCCUUCUACCAGCUGGCAUGUCAGGCUCAUGAGCUAUCUAUCCUCAGGUUUAUGGAAGAAAUAACUGGACCGGUGAGAUGAGGCAGCCACAUCAAAGACAUGAGGGCUAGUGUGUCCCCAUGCACACAUGGACCGUGAAAGUCCUGCUAUGUUCCUACCAUGUACCCCUGCACUCAGGUUUCUGUGGGACUCUAUGAAAUCCUGGAUUGGGCAGGUCUCCAGGGGCGUUCUAGGCCUGCUACUGUCAAAACUAGAACUCCUUACCAAGCAACCAGCUUCUCUCAUGGUCUCCACCAACACUACUCUCACUGCAGCAGUCUGGUGGAGCCACCAUAGACAGGCAAGGCUAAAGAGUUAGAAACAAACAGGUGGUGCAUAUGUUCUCUUGUUCUCCGAGUUCAACACCAUUGUAUCACGGCA